rnacentral:rRNA from 1 species
GACGUAGGGCGCGAGCGUUGUCCGGAUUUACUGGGCGUAAAGGGCGCGUAGGCGGCCUGUUAAGUCGAACGUGAAAUCCCUGGGCUCAACCCAGGAACUGCGUCCGAUACUGGCAGGCUUGAAUUCGGGAGAGGGAUGCGGAAUUCCAGGUGUAGCGGUGAAAUGCGUAGAUAUCUGGAGGAACACCGGUGGCGAAGGCGGCAUCCUGGACCGAUAUUGACGCUGAGGCGCGAAAGCCAGGGGAGCAAACGGG